rnacentral:lncRNA from 1 species
GCAAGUUUGUUGGGCAUCUCCUUGAUUGUUGAUUGACACUAGGGUCCAGCCCACCGUGGGUGGUGCCAUCCCCUGGGCUGAUGGUCCUGGGUUCUAUAAGAAAGCAGGAUGAGCAAGCCGGUGAGCAAUGUCCUUCCGUGGUUCCUGUGUCUGCUCUUGUCUGGGUUCCUGCCCUGACUUUCCUAACAGAUGAGCUGUGAUCAUGACUUGUAAGUGGAGCGAACCCUUUUCCUCCCUGUUUCUUCAAAGCCAAAGAAAGAAACUAAGACAAAGGGUGAAUCUGGUUUCCCUUUGUUGUCCCAAACUCUCUAUGGCAGGGGUGAAGCUAGGAGUUAUCUGAGAAUCAGGCCUGGGUGUGUGUUGGUCCAAGCUUCCCUCUUCCCCGUUGGGAUCCACCUCUCUGCAGGGAGCAUGCACACAGAAUAGUGUUGUCUAGACCUUUCAAUCCACAUGCGUUUUUCAACUGCAUUUAGGAAAUGUUUUCUAGCCAAUUGCUUUGUUUCUAUUUGAACUUUAACUAUAAUAUUGCCUCUGUCAGGUGCAUGUCACCAAACCCAGGUGUUCCCCUGGGUGCUGGGCAUCUGGAACUCAGGUCUAGUCUUGCACAGCAGGCACUGUGACUAAGCCUCAGUCCUCUCCUUCUGCCCCUGUCCUUGUCACCCCAACCCCCACCCCACUGCCCUCAGAUUCAAUAUGCAGCUCACGCUGAAGUUUUAACUGAUCUCCCUCCCUACCUCCUAAGUGCUGGGAUGCCAGGCAUUCUCUGCGGUGCUUAGGGUGGGGCUACAUGAUGUGGGCUUUCUGGUUAGGAAGUCCAGGCACUCUAUGCUCACAGGUGAUGAUUGGCCCAAGUCCAGCCUCUACAGCCACAGGUGUCCCCCCUGAGAAGUCACCCUGCUGCCUCUCCUGAAUGCCAGUGUGAUGAGCAGUGUUAACCCCCAGCCAAUCUCAGCUGGAGAUGUGUUAGGCCUGAUAAGGCAGGAAAGAGGUUACACCUCAGAGGGACUACAAAGAUGAACUAGCUCUUACUGGCAGGGGCCAAGGAGGAGAGCCAGGGGAUACGUUUUGAUGGAGCUUAAACCAAAAGGCAGAGCAGGAAACAGAUGGGUAGGAAUGGACUGGCUUUAGGGAACUUUCUCAGGACAUGAGAUUUAACACUAGAAAGGAAACCGGUAUGCUCAGUGGCUCUUAGAAAGAUGGGCCCGUGGUUCAGCAGGCUGUGCGUCCCGGCCCGUGGUUCAGCAGGCUGUGCGUCCCGGGAAGAGAGAGACGAUGCUGAUUUUCAAGGGUACCACUCCCAUUUGUUUUUAUUGCAGUUUAAGGGCUGUGAACUCUCUAUACCUUGCACAAGCACUUGGAAUCCAUUCACUGGGAGCAGUCUCUUUCCUGGGCGCGACUUUUGCUCUUUCUACCUUCAGGGCUUUAAAACUUCUGCAGCUGUUUGUUCCAGAUGUGGAAUCUUGCCCCAGCAUCUGACCAUCCAUCAGCCAGCUAUUUCACACAGGUGAGUCAAACCCAACUGGCCUGGACAUAGUUCUGCAAUGUGUUAUUAAGAGUUAAAAAGCAAGUGCUGGUAGCGAGCUUGGUGACACGGUGUUUCUAAAAAUAGCACACCCAAGGCCCUGGAUUCAAUCUCUAGCCUUGGAAAAAGAAAUGUCUAGAGAAACGUGGCUGUGGUGUGAGUCAUGUUUGAGAAACGGUGACAACCCACAUCAUAUGUAUAUUGAUCUUUUUUUUUUUCAUGACUCAAGCAAUAUGGAAAAUAUCACGGAAUGAUACAGGCCUUAGAAAUACAUGCUGGUCAUUGACGCUGGCUAUGUGGGGUGCAGGUAAGAGUUAAGAUGUUUGGUCGAGGGAGGAGGAGAACUGAGAGGAGGCAGUUUAAGAGGCAUUGAAUUUGAAGACACUGCCAUGGUGAAAAGAAUGUUUUGCUAUUAUCCCAUUUGUGUGGACUGCAUAAAAUACAGCUUCUAAGAUAUGAAUUAGAGUUAGAGUGCUCAAAUUCCAGAAUAUACCAGAUUCCAUGGUCAUCUGAGAUUUUUGGCCCUUCCUCCCUCCCUUCCUCCCUCCCUCCCUCCCUCCUUCCCUCCCUCCCUUCCCUCUUUUGCUGCUUAGUAAUGUAGUCUUUCUAAGGUUUAUUGAGAAAGAAUAUAAACAUAUAAAAUCAAGACUUGGUUCCGACAGCAGCUGCAUAUCAUGUAGAUUAGAUCCAGCAUUCACGAGCAGAAUCAAGGGUGAGAACACAAAAGGUCUCACGUCUACAAGUCAGGUCUAACCAAGGCAUUGGCAGCCGGGACAGAAGACCGUGAGGAGACAUGGCUAUGAAGAUAUCUAACUUAACGCUGAAGUGCCUCAUUUGUUUGGGUCAAUCUCACCAGAUGUACACCUCACAAAACUAUACAGUUAAAACACUUAAGUUCAGAACUUACUCCUUAUUUACAUAUAAAUUGAAUUUCUGUGUAACUUACAAAACUUUGACUUUGUCAGCACUGCUAAAAAUCAAAAUUAAAAGACAAAAAAACAAACAAACAAACAAAAAAACCCAAAAAACCAACCACAUGGCAGAGGUGAGAUCUGUCAGGAUGUCUGCUGUCGAUUUCAUUAGUAUGUUCUCUCACUUUGGAGGGAAGCCUGAGCUGAUGGGGCAGCCCAGGCUACCUAAGCAGAUGUCACAGCCUGACUGGCAUACCAUGUCCACUCCUGACAGGAAAUGCAUGGCCACUGGGAAGCUGCUCUAAGUGGCUGGCACAGCACUGAGAGAAACUAAGGGCUUCCCUGGUAUCUAUGGCGUAUGCUGUUGCUGAUGUUUUUAUUUUAAAGAAACGAAAGAGGGAGGGACGAGGAAGGCGGAGAGGGGAAGGAAGGAGAUGCCAAUCAAACAAUCUCAUUGAUCUAAAAACACUUUAGAAAUAAAUAUUUAAAUAAAUAUUUCUUUUUGAUUUAUGAUUUAGGGGAAACUAGUUUGGUUUUGACAGAGAAAAAUGAGAACAGAUACUUGUUAACAGCCUCUUUCAGGAGCCUUCUCAUCUGUUCAACAAUGGGGCACUCCUUCCAACAAUCUUGGGUGUCAACCUUCCAGCAGACAGAACUCUGCCUGUGUUAGUUGUCCCUGACUAGGUGGAUCAGCACACACAGCGCUGUCCACAGUGUCUGCCCUGCCUCCAUCCCAACCAAUGGCAGGCUUUAAGCUUAGAACACCUUGGGUUGAACUGUGUUAAAAAUUCCUUUCUUUCCUCUAGAUAAGAUACUCAUCUUUUACGCUGAAUAGCCACAGAGUGUCUGGAGCCGAGCCGGAACAGGCCACGAGCAUGGCUCUCCUCAAACACACUUUUAAACACAUUCAGUCUGAAUGGGGAUGAAGUCGGCCUAUGGUCGUUUACUUUGCUGGAGAUCUAAGUUGCACUACGGUGAAUGCAGUGAACAGACUUCCGGUUGACCUGGAGACGAGCCGCAGGCUGUCAGGAGAGGUGGCUCUUCUGGCUUGUCAGGUGGGUCAACCCAAAGAGACGCAGCUCUCCAGACUGGUAAGUGUUUUGUAAGCCCAGUGGGUUGAAGAAAGACGCAGACAGCUUCUUCAGGGUCAGCAGUAUUUCCGAGAUGCAUCUCCCUCUUGCUUGAUUAUGUCCAUUCCAGGCAGUUGGUUUGGGGAAAGGUGGCCUCCCCUUAGAGCAGGGUGUUUGACCAGCUCGGGACCCAUGGAGGACAGCCCUGACAUAGGCACGGAGGUCACUGAGGUCAUGCUUGUCUGGCCUGUCAUCUGGUUCAUGUUGCUCAAGCUACCCGUGUCGGUUGCUAUGGAUACAUUGACGUCCAUGCUGUUACUGUACAUCCUGGUAUUUGCUUGUUGCCCAAAUCGAGGUGGGGACUGUGAAAACAUGCUGUUUCCACCCAUGCUCUCCUGUGCCCAUCCGUUCAUGUCUGAGGAGGGCUGGUAAGCUGGGUUGGAUUGAGACUGCUACAUCAUGGGACUCUGGGUAUGUACCAUUAGGAGAGACAUUAAAGGAUUCCGGGGAGUCAUAGCCCCAGGAAAUCUAGGAUCAGGUUCCUGGGAGAUCUGGGGAUUCCUCAUGGCUGCUGGUAGACCAGCGGGAGCUGCCAUGCUUGGGGUCAUAUUCAACCCUUGUCCUCUCAUGGUCAGAAGUUCACUGCUGUACCUGCUGUUGUGGUGCAUCGGUCUCUGCUGAAGAUGCUGGUUGAGGAUUUCCGUCUGCCUCUGGGCCAGCAUCUGUGAAUUAAUAGGAGCCCGAGUUGGGGCUCCAGGCCCCAGAGUCAAGUUCACAUUGGAGACACUGCCAAUCUGAUUCGUAAGAGGACACCUUGAGCGAGGUGCCAUGCGUGGGCCCAGGCCUAGGCAAGCUCCUGUAGAGUCCUUGUUUGUGUCCGACAAGGAGCCAGGCAAGGGUGAAGGUUCCAUCUGGUUGGACUUGGUGGUCAGCAGCUGUAAGAGUUUGGUUUGCCCUUUGCUGUCAUGCAGCCGGCUGUGUCCCUCUGCCUUGUCCCCGCUGGUCGCCUGGGGCAUGCUGGAGCCAUUGGGCCCCUUUUGUUGUUCAGGAUGGUAGCUGGCCUCUGCUUGUCCAGUUGUACCUUCUGAGGGCUCCCCAUGAAGUCUGAAACAGUCUCUGGAAUCCAAACUUCCCGUCUUGCCGAGUGGGGGAGGAUUCAGAUUAACUGGGAAGUUUUGCAAAUUGCCCAUUUUUAGGUCCAGUGAAGCCAGCGAGGACCCGAGUGAGACCCCACGACCCUCGCUGAGGGCUUGCAGUGCAUCGAGGGAACUGUUGGUAUAACUAUGGCUAUUUCCUGUGCUGCUGCGAACGUCCACAGGGGAAUGCAAGCUUCCUGCAGGGGAAAACUGACUGGGUGCGUUGCGAGGACUGCCAGCCACUCCAGGGCUCAUUCGAUGACCUGGGGAGAGCAGGGAGCUGGCUUGCCCUGAGCUCAUGCUGGGGCUGCUUUGCGAGGGACUGUUCAUUUUGAGUGCAUAGUUACUACCCUGAAGAGUGGUCGCUUGCGUGCCUGAUACAUGGUUCAUGCCCCCAGAGCCACCAAACCUGCCCAUAGGCAUGGUCCUUUGGACCAUUCCUAGGAGCAUUUAUAUAUAUUGCUACCGAGGGUCAUGUCCUGACCUGGGUUCCUACUGCACCUACUGCACAGGGCCUGGUGGGCAGGACUGCUAGAGCUAAUUGGAUCCAGUGGCUUCCCCAUCGCUUGUCCAGUCAGAUCUGGAUUCAUCACACAUCUGUUCUGCUCUCUGUAAAGCAUGUGUAAAGAUAUUACAAGCCGAGGCUCCUUAGCCGUCUGGGAACGACGUGUUUGCUCUGUGUUUGUGCAGCAAAGAGAGUGCCACUGGAGAGAAAACGACAGAUCUGACUGAACGCCAACCCAUGCCUGCCUCAGAACCUCAUGAUGAUGACUCUUGGUGUGUGAAGAGACUCCCCUGCUUCAUGCAAUGUGUGGGACUUCUGAAUGCGUCCUCUCACCAGAUCCUCCCAGCCCGGCUUCAUGGCGGCCCUCACGGUGCUAGUGUCCAGAGAAGUGAUUUUUGCCCUGGAUGUCCCUGCGAGUGGUAAAGCUUCCUGAUGAGGGGAGGGCUGAUCUUCCCUUCGUGGGGACUCUUCCUGCCACACAGAUCAAGCAGGACUGCAAAUCUCCGCCUUCCUCUUUGACCUGGCUGAGACACAGAGAAGUACCGCAUCGUCUCGUAUUUCUGAUGGGCUUCCUGGUUACCACGGCCUUCCUCUUCUGAAUCUGGCAAAGGCUUCACCAGCAUCUGACAGUUGAAGGCAUAGAUAGCUAUUCUGCCUCGGAGGUUCUCCAGACAGAGAUCUCCCCCCAUUCACCGUGGACUUUGGCAGCUGGUUCAGUGUGGUUCCGAACAUGCAGGAUGCUGUAGACGAUCUUGUUCAUCAGUUCUUCCUGGCUAUACUGUAGAUGGCUGUGUCACAUUCUCUGACAGGGACACCACAUUGCCUUCCACAUUCACAAUGACGAACCCUUCGUUGUCGAGGGCCUCAAGCCUCACAGGCCACAGUGCAUCCUUGUUGAUGAUAUCCUGCCCUGUGGACCACACAUCUGACUCCCGCAUUUCAUCUAUGCUGGCAGCGGCUGCUUGCUCUUGCUCUUUGAUCCGGUGGAUCUGCUUCACAGUUUCUUUUAAGAUGGCACAUUUAUCAGGUUUGAAAUUGAAGUUGUCGAUAUCAUUAAAAGUUGCAAAAAUCA